UCGAUCCAUCACUGUGUUCACACAUUCCUCCUCUUAUCUUUUAUUCUAAGCUCACGUCUCCUCCUCCUUUUCCUCUUCCUCUUCAUUUUUUGGUGUGAGGAUUUCCUCUCUAGUCUUCUAUUUCCAUUCUCUCGUUUCACCUCUUUUGCUUUCAGCCCACUCAUCUUUCCUCCAACUUCACGAGGCAGCUGGAUUUCUCACAAUCGAGAAUCCAGCAAGUCAGGCUCUAAACUAUCAAGUUAUUUGCUUCCAGCCGAGCCACAGUGGUUUGGACCAAUCAGUGUCCUACUACGGAGAAACUACCGGCAGCUAUGGAUAUACCUCAGGUGUGAUGACAUCAGGACGUGACUGUUCGUUAACAACAGCGGCGGCUCCUAUAGAGAGCGACUGUGGGUCCAGUUGAGAUGUUCUCGGCGCCUGCAGCACCACCUGGACUGGAUGUAACGUCACUGUGACAAAGUCGUGGCCACUGGAGGGCAGAGCUCCGUGUUCAGAGCCCCUCAGCUCUCCGCUCAUGGUCCACAUGUUCAGAACAUUUACAACUACGCAAUAAGAGUAAGGUUAAGAUCAACAUUACAUCAAAGAUUAAAAAGAAGGUUGCUUCUAACUUAAUUAAUCACUGAUUUAAUGCACCACCCGCUGAUGCAAAUCAAACACACCCGCCAUGUUGUGUGACAGGUGCAUGCUGGGUCUGGCUUAAAUUAAUGCUAAAAUUCUGAGGUUGGAUCCUUGAGUUGUGACUUGUAUGUUCACUUCUGCUGUCAGUGAGGUGGUGCACCACCUUCCUGCUGUUUCUGAUGAUCCCUGUUGUGACUGCAGCUCAUUCGGCUCAGUGUUUCAGGGGCUCAGUGCCACAGAGUCCGAGUGGACCGGUUAUAACUGACACGAACAGUAAACGAGCAGAGAAGAUGGAUUUAGAGCAGACUGUGGAGGACGUCAUGGUGACGUGCCAACAGGUGUGUGCAACUGACUGAUUGUUGUAACUCACUGUACAGAGAGGAGCAUCAAAAGCUACUGCGUUGCCUAGCAAUGUAAUGUUUUGCCUGUGUUUUGUCGGCUGCAGUCACUGUGGUAUUCGGGUGUUUCUAUUAUUUCGUCCACCACAUUUAUAUCAGCAGGUAGGACGGCUCAACAGCACCACACACUACAUCCGCCAAAAUGAUCACACAGUGAAUCAACGCCUGAAUCUACCAAGUGAACAUUAUAACCUUCAUGAAGGAGGAUUUAUUUUAAGGACUGUUGUAUUAGACUACAUCACUUUUAGCGACAUGUUCCUAAUAAACUGCAAACUGAGUUUAUAUUUGUAAUCUGAUGAAUGUACAGUGCUUGACUGGAAUUUACUGGUUGGUCUUGGUGCAGUAUAAACCUGCAUAUACGAGA